rnacentral:lncRNA from 1 species
GGACUUAAUAAACAUGUCAUGUCGAGUUUGAUUCACAUUAUUGAUUUUUGACAUAUGGAAUCAACUAGCAAACGUAUCUCUCAUAGACUUAUCAUGUGAAAAAUAUCUUUCGAGAAAUGGAUUUGAUGAUUCCUUCUUAUAUCUUUUAAGAAAAAGUCUUACGUGCAAGGAUUUGAUUCACACACAUAUCUUGAUCCUUGUAAAAAUG